GAAAACAUUCAGCUGCUCUGAGUGUGGGAAAAGAUUUGGCCAAAACGGAAAUCUGAAGAGACACAUGAGAACUCAUACAGGAGAGAAACCUUUCAGCUGCUCUGAGUGUGGUAGAGCUUUCUCUGAUAGUGGAAACCUGAAGAAACACAUGAGUACUCACACAGGAGAAAAACCUUUCAGCUGCUCAGUCUGUAAGAAAUCUUUUUCACGUAGUGGAAUUUUACAGAAACACAUGAGAAUCCACACAGGAGAAAAACCUUUCAGUUGCUCUGAGUGUGGUAAAGCUUUCACUGAAAGUGGAGCCCUGAAGAAACACAUAAGAAUCCAUACAGGAGAAAAACCUUUCAGCUGCUCAGUUUGUAAGAAAUCUUUUACAUACAGUGGAGCUUUAAAGAUACACAAGAGAACUCACACAGGAGAAAAACCUUUUAGCUGCUCAGUUUGUAAUACAUCUUUUACACAGAGAGGAAAUUUACAGUUCCACAUGGCAGUCCACACAGGAGAUAGAAGAUUCAGCUGCAGUGUUUGUAACAAAAGAUUUUCCCGGCGUUCUGAUGUCAAAACACAUAAAUGUGUUGGUCAGAUGGAAACAGAAGCUGAUGGAGAGGACUGUGGAGGACCAGAACCAGCCAGGAACUCACAUCCACUUUUACAACCAGAGACUGAAGACCAGACUGGAGACUCUUCUGAUCCUGAGACUGGUGACAUGGAAUAAUGUUUGUGCAUUUAAGUCCAAGCAAAACUUCUCAAGUAUCAAACAAAAAUCUUUAUGUGUUAAAAUCUAGAUAGAAUACAUUAUAAGUACACUCUUAUUUUAAAUAUUUUAUUAGAUAUUGUUUUGUCUUGUGAUGUCUGUCAUAUAAUCAAUUAUAAUCAAGAAAUCAGACAAAUGUAACCACCUGAUAUUUUAUAGGGCCCACACAUAUAUUCACUUCUUUCUAAGUAACGUAUGUUUAACAAGAUUCACUAUUAAUCAUGUAUCAGUAUGGGAGUUUAUUCAAUACACAUUGGGUUCAUGUUUUAAUUUUGUGUAUCAUGUUUAAGCACAAUUUAGACCCAUCAGUCUCUGAGAGGAGACUUUUCUCUCUGUGUCAGGGAGACAGGAAGUGCAGGUUGAAAGCUAUCUUUAGUUUAAACAAGGGAGAUGUGAGGGAGGUAGCAGAGGGAAGUUAUCCUAGCAAGGUGUUUCCUGUCAGGGAGCGGAGGAGUUUUCUCUUUGAAGCUAAGCCUGAGAUGGACAUAUUAUGGUCUGUAUAAAACUAUAAAAACUCACUCGUGCAUUGCUAUGUUCCAAGGUAAUAUGAUCAGUGACACCAAAAUGAUUAAGGUCUUUUGACAUGUAUAGUGUCGCCUAUGCCACUAAUUAGGCCAUGGUAAAGCUAAUAAAGUAAAGAAAUAUAA